AUUCAGUCACAACUCCUACCUGUGGACAACGGUGUGAUGGGGAGGUGGUGUGGGGUUCUGCACCCCUUCAGUAAACAUCACCUUCAAAGCCAUCUGCUAUUAAACCUUCACAACAGGAAGAGGAAGUCACCACCACAACAAUAACAGGGUUAUGUUCCAAAGUGCACCCUAUUCCCUACGCAGUGCACUACUUGUAAUAAGGGGAUCUGGUUAAAAGUAGUGCCCUAUAUAGGGAAUAGGGUGCCGUUUGGGACUUAGAUCACGGUGUCCAUUCCACCUCUUUCCAAUGUCCUACAGGGUGUUACCAUGCUGAUAAUAAGUACAUACUAUAGUGAGAAAUGAAUCAAUGUUUUACAAUUUUAUUUGUGUUAUAGAUUGUAUCUCUCCCAUUUGUUUCAAUUGACGAGCCACUUUUACUGACACCUGUCUCUGAGUUAAUGAAUGAAUAGUGUAUUGUCCACACAUGUCUCUGAGUUAAUGAAUGACUAGGGUAUUGUCCACACCUGUCUCUGAGUUAAUGAAUGACUAGGGUAUUGUCCACACCUGUCUCUGAGUUAAUGAAUGAAUAGGGUAUUGUCCACACCUGUCUCUGAGUUAAUGAAUGAAUAGGGUAUUGUCCACACCUGUCUCUGAGUUAAUGAAUGAAUAGGGUAUUGUCCACACCUGUCUCUGAGUUAAUGAAUGAAUAGGGUAUUGUCCACACCUGUCUCUGAGUUAAUGAAUGACUAGGGUAUUGUCCACACCUGUCUCUGAGUUAAUGAAUGAAUAGGGUAUUGUCCACACCUGUCUCUGAGUUAAUGAAUGACUAGGGUAUUGUCCACACCUGUCUCUGAGUUAAUGAAUGAAUAGGGUUUCUGUCCACACCUGUCUCUGAGUUAAUGAAUGAAUAGGGUUUUUGUCCACACCUGUCUCUGAGUUAAUGAAUGAAUAGGGUAUUGUCCACACCUGUCUCUGAGUUAAUGAAUGAAUAGGGUAUUGUCCACACCUGUCUCUGAGUUAAUGAAUGAAUAGGGUAUUGUCCACACCUGUCUCUGAGUUAAUGAAUGAAUAGGGUAUUGUCCACACCUGUCUCUGAGUUAAUGAAUGAAUAGGGUAUUGUCCACACCUGUCUCUGAGUUAAUGAAUGAAUAGGGUAUUGUCCACACCUGUCUCUGAGUUAAUGAAUGAAUAGGGUAUUGUCCACACCUGUCUCUGAGUUAAUGAAUGAAUAGUGUAUUGUCCACACCUGUCUCUGAGUUAAUGAAUGAAUAGGGUAUUGUCCACACCUGUCUCUGAGUUAAUGAAUGAAUAGGGUAUUGUCCACACCUGUCUCUGAGUUAAUGAAUGAAUAGGGUAUUGUCCACACCUGUCUCUGAGUUAAUGCAAUACUGGAGAUAUGAUCCAUUAAUAAGCAAUAGUCCAUUUCCACCAUCACAAUCUUCUAUCAAAACAUGUCACUUCCUUAUUGUCAUAUGACAGCACUAUGUUUAUCUACUCUUCUGAAAUCAUCUGCAUUUCCCGUGAUUUGAUUGGUCUACCUCCCGUGAUGGUGACCAAUGCCCUCCCACCGUUCUACCUUGGCCACUGUACUGUGGUGAAACAGGAAGUUAGUUGUCUAGUUAGCGUGGGUCUUUGUAUCGACUGUAGAGAGGGGCUACACCACAGUAGAUAGAUGCCAGGUCUGAGGCCCUGUUAAUCCUCUGUUGGGGCGAGGAGCCUGUCAUGGAGACACACACACGUGUGCGUGUGUUGAACAUGAAAGACGCCACACCACUGAAGCCAUGAAUAGACCAGAUCCCCUGUUGUUUCUCUCUGACCUGUGUUGUUAAGACCAGGCCGUGUGCCAGGUGUUAUGCCCAGCGAGGGGCAAGGCUCUGAUGUAACACACAGCCCAGCGAGGGGCAAGGCUCUGAUGUAACACACAGCCCAGCGAGGGGCAAGGCUCUGAUGUAACACACAGCCCAGCGAGGGGCAAGGCUCUGAUGUAACACACAGCCCAGCGAGGGGCAAGGCUCUGAUGUAACACACAGCCCAGCGAGGGGCAAGGCUCUGAUGUAACACACAGCCCAGCGAGGGGCAAGGCUCUGAUGUAACACACAGCCCAGCGAGGGGCAAGGCUCUGAUGUAACACACAGCCCAGCGAGGGGCAAGGCUCUGAUGUAACACACAGCCCAGCGUCUCAAAAAAAAUCUCUCACUUCUUCUAUUAAUUUCUUAAGGAUCCGACACUUAAAAACAAAAAUAAAAAUCGCCUAAAAAGACAUACCCAAAUCUAACUUCCUGUAGCUCAGGACAUGAAGCAAGGACACGCAUAUCAUUGAUACCAUUUGAAAGGAAACACUUUGAAGUCUCAAAAAACUGUCUCCCUCUUCUUUUCAGAGCACCGUGAGUUGUGACACGGGCCGUUAAAGAUGGCAACUGAGAUUUAAUAACAGCACCUGAUUAAAGGGUGUUUUUAUUGUUAGGGAGGGAGGGCCUGUUGGUCCCGCCAUGAAAGAGACUGUCAACGUUCAGACUGAACCCUUAACUAGAGCCGUGAAAAUAGAUUCAAGUGGUUCAAUCUCAUGGCUAUCUAGUAGCGCCAUCUAUUGACUAGAGAAAGUAUAGCACCAAGUAAUGUCUAUUGUAACGGUUGUGUCUGUCAGAAACCAAAUUCCAUCCUUCCUUUGUUUUUGUUACCGAUUUGUCUUAAUCUUACCAGUAUGUCUGGAGGGGUAGAAGAUGGUGGUCCUUAUCACUUCCUCACCUAAACGGAGGUUUAUUUCAAUCAAUGAAGAGAGAUAAUAUGAGGAAGUGAAUCAAGUCUUGUCAUUUAGAUAAAGAUAAUCAAGUCUUGUCAUUUAGAUAAAGAUAAUCAAGUCUUGUCAUUUAGAUAAAGAUAAUCAAGUCUUGUCAUUUAGAUAUAGCCUCAGCUAGAGACAGAGACGGGUUACUGAAGAAUGACAGUAGUGUUCAUCAGAUUAAAUGUGUUUUUUUGUUUGUUGCACAUCUCCUGGCAGAAAUUGUGAUCAAAUCCUGUUCUAUGUGCCAUAUAUAGAGGCUUUCAUCAUGUGGUCUUGUCCAACACAGUGAUAAGAGUUGUGUGUCUCGCUGGCUUGUUUUGUAACAUGAUCAUCAAGCCUUCUGCAAUAAUACAGUACUUGAUGUACAAGUCCUUUACUUCUGUCCUUUAGGGAAGAUUCACACUCUUUCACUUCUGAAUUCCCCCCCUUCUUUUCUAUCGCUUUAAACAAAUCAUCCAUUCUGGUUCCGGAAUGGAAUGUCAGUUUUUAAAUAAAUCAUCCAUUCUGGUUCUGGAAUGGAAUGUCAGUUUUUAAAUAAAUCAUCCAUUCUGGUUCUGGAAUGGAAUGUCAGUUUUUAAAUAAAUCAUCCAUUCUGGUUCCGGAAUGGAAUGUCAGUUUUAAAUAAAUCAUCCAUUCUGGUUCUGGAAUGGAAUGUCAGUUUUUAAAUAAAUCAUCCAUUCUGGUUCUGGAAUGGAAUGUCAGUUUUUAAAUAAAUCAUCCAUUCUGGUUCUGGAAUGGAAUGUCAGUUUUUAAAUAAAUCAUUCAUUCUGGUUGUGGAAUGGAAUGUCAGUUUUUAAAUAAAUCAUCCAUUCUGGUUCUGGAAUGGAAUGUCAGUUUUAAAUAAAUCAUCCAUUCUGGUUCUGGAAUGGAAUGUCAGUUUUAAAUAAAUCAUCCAUUCUGGUUCUGGAAUGGAAUGUCAGUUUUAAAUAUAUCAUCCAUUCUGGUUCUGGAAUGGAAUGUCAGUUUUUAAAUAAAUCAUCCAUUCUGGUUCUGGAAUGGAAUGUCAGUUGAGUCCAUCAGUAUAUUCGGUAGCACUUAUUUGUAAAAUGGCAGAAACUCUCAGUUGAAAUCAUACAACCACAGGACAGGCUAUACGUCAUCAGAAGCCAUGCUUGCACUGUCUCACCCACCUGGUUCCUACUGGCUAUGAUGACGUAUUGAUGAACACUCAGGGACAAUAGGAACUAUAUUAUUAGAGGAUAGGCCCUAAAAGCAAUAUUAGCUUAAAUAAAUCAUGAUCUGCAUGAAGAAAAUACAUUGCUGUUAUUUUAGUAGAAAGCUAUUUUUUGUUGCUUUAGGGCUCAGAUUGAAUCUGUACCGUAUGAAGAUCCACACUAUACCAGGAUUUACAAUUAAAGGCAAUGUUCCUGCGUUUUGUCGGAGACUCCAUUCACCGUAAAUGCCGCGUAUGUCGACUCAAUCCACAAAUCACCUUUUAAAUGUCAGUGCCACUAUGACGAGGAUCUUCAGCGCUACGGGUUGAAUCCAUCUCUUCAGUUGGUUCGUUAAAGUGGCCCCCUCUUAGACAUUUACCACCGUUGUGUUUACACCUACUGUGUGUGUGUGUGUGUGUGUGUGUGUGUGUGUGUGUGUGUGUGUGUGUGUGUGUGUGUGUGUGUGUGUGUGUGUGUGUGUGUGUGUGUGUGUGUGUGUGUGUGUGUGCGCAUCUAUGUGGCUACAUAAUAUUGUUGUCUUAGACAACCCAGGUUUCAUUAGUGAAGGAUAUCGUGGUUAGUUGGAGAGGUUUUAUUAGUGAAGGAUAUCGUGGUUAGUUGGAGAGGUUUUAUUAGUGAAGGAUAUCGUGGUUAGUUGGAGAGGUUUUAUUAGUGAAGGAUAUCGUGGUUAGUUGGAAAGGUUUUAUUAGUGAAGGAUAUAGGGGUUUCACGGUAUCCUUCAUUAGUGAAGGAUAUCGUGGUUAGUUGGAAAGGUUUUAUUAGUGAAGGAUAUCGUGGUUAGUUGGAGAGGUUUAUUAGUGAAGGAUAUCGUGGUUAGUUGGAGAGGUUUAUUAGUGAAGGAUAUCGUGGUUAGUUGGAGAGGUUUAUUAGUGAAGGAUACCGUGGUUAGUUGGAGAGGGUUUAUUAGUGAAGGAUACCGUGGUUAGUUGGAGAGGUUUAUUAGUGAAGGAUAUCUUGGUUAG